CAAUAGCGUAUAUUAAAGUUGUUGCAGUUAAAAAGACUCGUAGUUGGAUUUCUGGGAGGGUGCCAAUGUCCGUCGUCGUACGUGUUGCAGCGGCGCCCUUCCAUCCUUCUGUUAACGACUUUGGGCAUUCACUUGCCGGAGUCGGGCUCAGAUAUUUUACCUUGAGAAAAUUAGAGUGUUUCAGGCAGGCUAGGCCGGAAUACAUUAGCAUGGAAUAAUGGAAUAGGACUACGGUCUCUUUGUUGGUUUCUAGAGCUGAGGUAAUGAUUAAUAGGAUAGUUGGGGGCAUUCGUAUUUAACUGUCAGAGGUGGAAUUCUCGGAUUUGUUAAAGACUAACUUAUGCGAAAGCAUUUGCCAAGGAUGUUUUCAUUAAAUC
rnacentral:rRNA from 1 species